UGUCAGACCUUGCAUCGAGUUACUCUGUUACUAUACUACUAUUAUUGAAAUUGGCUUACUUUGAAUUGACUACUGUGGUUGUAAUAAUUACGUCUAGUUCAAGAUUUGCAUUUUGAACACAGUAUAAGUAAACCAGAACAUCAAUUUGAUGCUUGAAGCACACAGGGACUUAAGGUAUUCCUUAUUUAUCAGGUUACAGCACAGGAUAUUUCAACAAUGAUCCGCAGUGGACAAAGGAGCAUUAUCUUCCUCAUUAACAACGGAGGUUAUACAAUUGAAGUUGAGAUUCAUGAUGGCCCGUACAACGUGAUCAAGAACUAGGAUUACACUCGCUUUGUGGAAGCCAUCCAUAACGGAGAAGGCAAAUGCUGGACUGCCAAGGUACGGACAGAGGAAGAUCUAACAGAAGCGAUUGCAAUAGCAACAGGAGCACAGAAAGAUUCACUAUGUUUUAUAGAAGUAUUUGCGCACAAGGAUGACACCAGCAAAGAGUUGUUAGAAUGGGGAUCCCGUGUUGCUGCUGCUAACAGCUGCCCCCCAAAUCCUCAGUAGAUUACUUGCUCCAUUCUAAUUUGUACAUUUUCUUGUGUUAUAUUUCAGCCUUGGGGGAUGCUUAGAUUGCUAAGGUGUUGCCCCCUGCUUUACCAAUGUACUAAGCUCUGUUGCAUGUAAACAUAAAAAUUCUGAGAUCCUGCUUCAACCAAUUUUCACUUCAAUAAAGAUACUGGCAUACAGCCAUUGUAAAUU